ACAGGCCAAUUAUUGGCUAACAGAAGUACCCACUCUGGGGAAGAGGCUCCUGAAACCUCGUGCAAUAAGAUGCCUUAUUCCUUAAGGAGAGGAGACCCCACGGUAGUUUGGGGAAGACUGUCAAGCUGGAAAUUACCUACAGCAGCUGAGUCACCCAUCUCCCCGCCGAAGCCCGCUGGCUGUUUCCAAGGCCUUCCUCAUCAUUCAAACCACGAUGCGGCCACAGGAAUACCAAAAGCAACGCUUGAUGGCUGUGGAAGAUUUUCAUCCUCACAGGUCGUGAAUGCCUUCUGUUUAUCACCUGCACUAAGGAUUUACGACUGUCUCAGUGUUGUAUUUCUAGCAGCUGUACUCUGAAGGAAAGCAUCCUGCCCUGAGCUCCUUGGAGCUCCUAUCUGGUCAAUUGGAUGCUGCCCAAUUCAGGAGCUAUUGAAUAAAGCCACGUGUUAGUCAUUCAGUCGUGUCUGAC